UGCAGUAGUUUACUACUGUUUUAGGGGCUGUGGAAAUCCUUUGGGCUGCUUCGGCAGCUUUGAAAAGAGUACACUCCCUUUUAAACCCUUGUCUUUUUGCGUACUCAUGUUUCCUCGGCAGGCUUGCCUGCCGGCCGGACAACCUUAUAACCUUUUUAGAAUUUUCAAUCAGCGUCUGAAUAAUUAUAAUAAUUACAACUUUCAACAACGGAUCUCUUGGUUCU
rnacentral:misc_RNA from 1 species